GCCGCGUUGGCGUAGUGGUAGCGCGUCGCACUUGUAUGCUUUCAUAAGCAACCAGGUACAAUUGCGCCAGGAAGCAAUGCGAAGGUCACUCGUUCAAUCCGGGUACGUGGCA
rfam:Termitomyces sp. J132 unplaced genomic scaffold scaffold461, whole genome shotgun sequence.